rnacentral:tRNA from 1 species
UUUAAAGUGGCAGAAACAUAUAUGCAUUGGAUUUAAACUCCAAAGAUGGGUACCCCCUUUAAAA